GUGACCUUUGAGUUGAGACAGACAGAGGGGUGGUGAUGCAGAAGGAGGAAAGUGUGCGGAGAGCAGCAGAUGCCCUGGGCACGUGAGGACAGCACGGAGGCCAGGGUGGCUGAAGCGAUGGGGGAUUCUGAGCCCAGCCCCAUCUCAGCUCUCUGCCUCUUCUGGAAACAACACCUCACAGAGUUGACCUGGGAGCUCUACCCAGUUCUGCACAACUCAAGAUCUCAGGAUUUUUAGCCACCGUAUCAAAGUGAGAGAUGUUGACUUAGCCGUGGCCAUGGCCCAACCUGAAUCAAGAGUGCAAGCUUCAUGAGCCACGAGUCUUUGUCCUUUGUCUUGAUUGCUGUAUCCUCAGCACCUAGCAAGGGGCUAAUGCACAGUAGGUACUAAAUAAAGAUUUGUUGGAAGAAUAAAUGGAUGAAUUCCAGGUCUUCAGAAAGACUCUUCAGGACUCUGACUGGGCCGAUGGGCUCUGAAAUGCCUAAUGGAUCUCUUUCCAAGAAAUGCAAACCCAGCAUCCCACUGUGGGUUGGGCAGUUUAUCUGCUGGCUGCAUGUCCAAGUGACUGCAGGGACACCAUCCAUUAGUCAGUCUAUUUUUGUGGUUGGAGGGAAAGUAUACUCCAUUUCUUCAAGGCAGUCAAACAAACAUGAUGAGAAAUUUUGGAAUGCAACAGAAUAUUUGUACAGUGAAAUCUUGCUCCAAAUGCAUGGUUUAUAGACAAGCAGAAAGGAAC